rnacentral:lncRNA from 1 species
GAUGGUUGGUACCCGAGGUCCCGAGUUCGAAUUCUAGUUGAUUCACAUUUUCAGCUAAGUUUAUUUCUAAAUUAAAUAAACGAAGCAGGUAGCAUGCUACCUAUCUCUCUCAAAAAAAAAAAAAAAAAAAAACUACAUUUUGGUUUUCUGGAAAUUAAUUAUACUGAAACGACCAAUCAAGCAAUUUAUUGGAUGCAAACUACUGGCCCAAAAUACUUAAAUCUAAAUUAUUAGUUAGUAUUAGAAUU